AGUGAACGCUGGCGGUAGGCCUAACACAUGCAAGUCGAACGGCAGCACAGUAAGAGCUUGCUCUUACGGGUGGCGAGUGGCGGACGGGUGAGGAAUACAUCGGAAUCUACUUUUUCGUGGGGGAUAACGUAGGGAAACUUACGCUAAUACCGCAUACGACCUACGGGUGAAAGCAGGGGGUCUUCGGACCUUGCGCGAUUGAAUGAGCCGAUGUCGGAUUAGCUAGUUGGCGGGGUAUAGGCCCACCAAGGCGACGAUCCGUAGCUGGUCUGAGAGGAUGAUCAGCCACACUGGAACUGAGACACGGUCCAGACUCCUACGGGAGGCAGCAGUGGGGAAUAUUGGACAAUGGGCGCAAGCCUGAUCCAGCCAUACCGCGUGGGUGAAGAAGGCCUUCGGGUUGUAAAGCCCUUUUGUUGGGAAAGAAAAGCAGCAGGUUAAUACCCCGCUGUUCUGACGGUACCCAAAGAAUAAACACCGGCUAACUUCGU
rnacentral:rRNA from 1 species